AUUGGGGUCCUCCAGGGGUGGGGGAUGGGAUAUGGGGGUCCUCCAAGGGUGGGGUUUUGGGGUCCUCCAGGGGUGGGGGUUGGGAUAUGGGGGUCCUCCAUGGGUGGGAGAUGGGAUUUUGGGGUCCUCCAAGAGUGGGGGAUGGGGAUGUGGGGGUCCUCCAGUGGUGGGGGAGGGGGAUGUGGGGGUCCUCCAGGGAUUGGCAUGGGGGAUAUUGGGGUCCUCCAGGGGUGGGGGUGGGGAUAUGGAGGUCCUCCAGGGGUGAGGGGAGGUCCUCCAAGGGUGGGGGAUGGGGUAUGGGGGUCCUCCAGGGGUGGGGUUUGGGGGCGUUUGGGGUCCUCCAGGGGUGGGGGGUUGGGGUAUUGGGGUCCUCCAAGGGUGGGGGUUGGGGGCAUUGGGGUCCUCCAGGGGUAGAGGUGAGGAUGUGGGGUCCUCCAGGAGUGGGGUUUUGGGGUCCUCCAAGGGUGGGGGGCAUUGGGGUCCUCCAGGGGUGGGGGAGGAGGAUAUUGGGGUCCUCCAGGGGUGGGAGAUGGGAUAUUGGGGUCCUCCAAGAGUGGGGGUGGGGAUAUGGAGGUCCUCCAGGGGUGAGGGGAGGUCCUCCAAGGGUGGGGGAUGGGGUAUGGGGGUCCUCCAGGGGUGGGGUUUGGGGGCGUUUGGGGUCCUCCAGGGGUGGAGGGUUGGGGUAUUGGGGUCCUCCAAGGGUGGGGGUUGGGGGCAUUGGGGUCCUCCAGGGGUAGAAGUGAGGAUGUGGGGUCAUCCAGGAGUGGGGUUUUGGGGUCCUCCAAGGGUGGGGGGCAUUGGGGUCCUCCAGGGGUGGGGGUGGGGGACAUUGGGGUCCUCCAAGGAUGGGGGAUGGGGAUAUGGGGGUCCUCCAAGAGUGGGGGGUGGGGAUGUGGGGUCCUCCAGGAGUGGGGUUUUGGGGUCCUCCAGGGGUGGGGUGGGGGGGAUAUUGGGGUCCUCCAGGGGUGGGAGUUGGGAUUUUGGGGUCCUCCAGGGGUGGGGGAUGGGAUAUGUGAGUCCUCCAGGGGUGGGAUUUUGGGGUCCUCCAGGGGUGGGGGGGGGUGGGG
rnacentral:lncRNA from 1 species